rnacentral:rRNA from 1 species
UACGAAGGGGACUAGCGUUGUUCGGAAUCACUGGGCGUAAAGCGCACGUAGGCGGAUGUGUCAGUCAGGGGUGAAAUCCCGGGGCUCAACCUCGGAACUGCCUUUGAUACAGCACGUCUCGAGUCCGGAAGAGGUGGGUGGAAUUCCUAGUGUAGAGGUGAAAUUCGUAGAUAUUCGCAAGAACACCAGUGGCGAAGGCGGCUAACUGGUCCGGUUCUGACGCUGAGGCGCGAAAGCGUGGGGAGCAAACAGG